rnacentral:rRNA from 1 species
GACGAACGCUGGCGGCGUGCUUAACACAUGCAAGUCGAACGGAAAGGCCCUGCUUUUGUGGGGUGCUCGAGUGGCGAACGGGUGAGUAACACGUGAGUAACCUGCCCUUGACUUUGGGAUAACUUCAGGAAACUGGGGCUAAUACCGGAUAGGAGCUCCUGCUGCAUGGUGGGGGUUGGAAAGGUUCGGCGGUUGGGGAUGGACUCGCGGCUUAUCAGCUUGUUGGUGGGGUAGUGGCUUACCAAGGCUUUGACGGGUAGCCGGCCUGAGAGGGUGACCGGCCACAUUGGGACUGAGAUACGGCCCAGACUCCUACGGGAGGCAGCAGUGGGGAAUAUUGCACAAUGGGCGGAAGCCUGAUGCAGCAACGCCGCGUGCGGGAUGACGGCCUUCGGGUUGUAAACCGCUUUCGCCUGUGACGAAGCGUGAGUGACGGUAAUGGGUCAAGAAGCACCGGCUAACUACGAG